rnacentral:sRNA from 1 species
UCAGCAGGGGCUUUGCCGUAGAUGGCGUC